CUUGGUCAUUUAGAGGAAGUAAAAGUCGUAACAAGGUUUCCGUAGGUGAACCUGCGGAAGGAUCACUAGAGAUUUCGCCCUCCGGGGCUCUCUUUUUCUUCACACACCCCUGUGCACUUUGGCUGCCGCUUCAUUGCGGUGGUCUUUUAUAAUUACCAUACCCAUAUACACAAGUCAUUGAAUGUAAAAUCGUUAUAAACUAAUAUAACUUUCAACAACGGAUCUCUUGGUUCUCGCAUCGAUGAAGAACGCAGCGAAUUGCGAUAAGUAAUGUGAAUUGCAGAAUUCAGUGAAUCAUCGAAUCUUUGAACGCAUCUUGCGCUCUUUGGUAUUCCGAAGAGCAUGCCUGUUUGAGUGUCAUGAAACUCUCACCUGCAGCACUCUUUUAUUAGAGGGCUGGAGCGUGGACGUGAGUGCUGCUGGUGCCCUCGCUGCAUCGGCUCACUUGAAAUUUAUUAGCUGAAUCCUCUAGUGUUGGUUCUACUCGACGUGAUAAGAUCUCCGUCGAGGACAGUGCUCCUUGUGGGCGUUGGCCACCGCUAGCUGUUGAUACGCUCCUAAUUAGCGCAGACUUCGAGUGCUGGCAACUUUUGACAACUUGGCCUCAAAUCAGGUAGGACUACCCACUGAACUUAAGCAUAUCAAUAAGUGGAGGAAAAGAAACUAACAAGGAUUCCCCUAGUAACGGCGAGUGAAGCGGGAAGAGCUCAAAUUUAAAAUCUGGCAGGCUACGCUUGUCCGAAUUGUAAUCUCGAGAAGUGUUUUCCGCGUUGGCCUGUGUACAAGUCCCUUGGAACAGGGCGUCAUAGAGGGUGAGAAUCCCGUCCUUGACACCGACACCCAAUGCUUUGUGAUACACUCUCAAUGAGUCGAGUUGUUUGGGAAU
rnacentral:sRNA from 1 species